rnacentral:rRNA from 1 species
AGAGUUUGAUCCUGGCUCAGAGUUAACGCUGGCAUCGUGCAUAACACAUGCAAGUCGAACGGGACUUUAAUUUGUAGCAAUACAGAUUGAAGUUUAGUGGCAGACGGGUGAGUAAUGUAUAAGUAACCAACCUUUAAGUGGGGAAUAACAAUCCGAAAGGGUUGCUAAUACCCCAUAACAUCUAAUAGCGGCAUCGUUAAUAGAUUAAAGAUUUAUCGCUUGAAGACGGACUUAUAUUCUAUCAGCUAGUUGGCAGUGUAACGGACUACCAAGGCGACGACGGAUAGCCGGCCUGAAAGGGCGACCGGCCACAAGGGCACUGAGACACGGGCCCUACUCCUACGGGAGGCAGCAGUGGGGAAUUUUGGACAAUGGGCGAAAGCCUGAUCCAGCAACGAUGCGUGGAGGAUGAAGGUUCUCGGAUUGUAAACUCCUUUUGAGAGGGAAGAAAAAAAUGACGGUACCUCUCGAAUAAGCCACGGCUAACUACGUGCCAGCAGCCGCGGUAAGACGUAGGUGGCAAGCGUUACUCGGAAUUACUAGGCGUAAAGCGCGCGUAGGCGGAAUGUUAAGUCUGUUGUGUAAUCUCUGGGCUCAACCCAGAAACUGCAACAGAAACUGGCGUUCUUGAGUGAGGCAGAGGAAAUCGGAAUUCCUAGUGUAGCAGUGAAAUGCGUAGAUAUUAGGAGGAACACCGGUGGCGAAGGCGGAUUUCUGGGCCUUUACUGACGCUAAAGUGCGAAAGCUAGGGGAGCAAACGGGAUUAGAUACCCCGGUAGUCCUAGCCGUAAACGAUGAUAACUAGGUGUGGGAGGUAUCGACCCCUUCCGUGCCGCCGCUAACGCAUUAAGUUAUCCGCCUGGGGAGUACGGCCGCAAGGUUAAAACUCAAAGGAAUUGACGGGGACCCGCACAAGAGGUGGAGUAUGUGGUUUAAUUCGACGCUACGCGAAAAACCUUACCUGGGCUCGAACGACUGGUGGUAAGACUUAUGAAAGUAGGUCUGACCCGCAAGGGAGCCAGC